GACGAACCGUGCGAACGUUGUUCGGAAUCACUGGGCUUAAAGGGCGCGUAGGCGGGCCACCAAGUCCGGGGUGAAAUCCUCCGGCUUAACCGGAGAAUUGCCUGGGAUACUGGUGGUCUUGAGGGAGGUAGGGGCACGCGGAACUUCCGGGUGGAGCGGUGAAAUGCGUUGAUAUCGGAAGGAACGCCGGUGGCGAAAGCGGCGUGCUGGCCCUCUUCUGACGCUGAGGCGCGAAAGCCAGGGGAGCGAACGGG
rnacentral:rRNA from 1 species